rnacentral:rRNA from 1 species
ACCCGCUGAACUUAAGCAUAUCAAUAAGCGGAGGAAAAGAAACCAACAGGGAUUACCUCAGUAACGGCGAGUGAAGCGGUAACAGCUCAAAUUUGAAAUCUGGCCCUUUCAGGGUCCGAGUUGUAAUUUGUAGAGGAUGUUUCGGGUGUGGUACCGGUCUAAGUUCCUUGGAACAGGACGUCAUAGAGGGUGAGAAUCCCGUAUGUGACUGGCUGCCUACACCCAUGUGAAACUCCUUCGACGAGUCGAGUUGUUUGGGAAUGCAGCUCAAAAUGGGUGGUAAAUUUCAUCUAAAGCUAAAUAUUGGCCAGAGACCGAUAGCGCACAAGUAGAGUGAUCGAAAGAUGAAAAGCACUUUGGAAAGGGAGUUAAACAGUACGUGAAAUUGUUGAAAGGGAAGCGCUUGCAACCAGACUUGCACUUGGUUAAUCAUCCUCUGUUCUCAGGGGUGCACUUGAUCUUGUUCAGGCCAGCAUCGGUUUUGGUGGUUGGAUAAAGGCCUUAGGAAUGUAGCUUCCCUCGGGGAGUGUUAUAGCCUAGGGUGCAAUGCAGCCUACCGGGACCGAGGACCGCGCUUCGGCUAGGAUGCUGGCGUAAUGGUUGUAAGCGACCCGUCUUGAAACACGG